rnacentral:lncRNA from 1 species
GCAUAUGGAGGUUCACAGGCUAGGGGUUGAAUCAGAGCUGUAGCCGCUGCCCUUCACCACAGCCACAGCAACAUGGGAUCUGAGCCGUGUCUGCAACCUGCACCACAGCAACACCAGAUCUUUAACCCACUGAGCAAGGCCAGGGAUCAAACCUGCGUCCCCACGGAUGCUAGUCAGAUUUGUUUCCGCUGAGCCACGAUGUGCACUCCAAAAAAAUUAUUUCUAUUUAGAAUACAUACUUGCUUACAGAUAAUUCUUUUUGUGCAUGGCUUUAUUUUUUUAAAUUUAUGAUCGUGUCAGAUGCAAUAUUACUGAUUUAUUAAGCCUAAGAACAUCAUUUUAUUUUACCUUGUUUUUGAUAAAGGGACUUAGAAUAUGCUCGCUUGCCUAAUUCCCCUCAAAACUACCAGGUGGGGGAAUUAGGAGUUUGGUGCAUCACCAGAGAACCUAGAAAAACUAACAAAUUAAUUUGAACUGCGGUGCAAUUACUAGAGUUAAAAACCACUCUUUCUAUUUCUUCCCAAUAUGUUUUAACAUGACACUUAGAAAGUCAUGCCUACUGUGAUAAAACAUAAAUGUUUAUAUUUUGAAAGGAAUUGCAAUUAAUCAAUUUAAUCACAAUGUAUGGUCCCUGAACAUAGCGCAAUACCGCCCCAAGCACUUCAGCCUCUUCACUUUAUCUCCGUAUUAAGAUUGUACGGUCUUUAAAAGCAGGGGUAUAUUUUCCGUCUUUCCAUCCUCCCGUAGCUGCACACAGGUAAGUCCUUAGGACACAUCAAUUGAACUGAGUAGCGAAUGCAUUUCAGCUUCCUGUUUUUCACAAAGAAGAAAAGGGCAGCAGUGCAUGAGCAAACAACCACAACCAACUGCAUCCUCCGAUGCUUUUCUCACUAUUAUAUAGAAACUCCAGCAGGAAACCACAGCUAUAUCCUUUUUACCAUUAUAGGAAAAUCUUAUGAUGCCUGGCCAGCCUCAAGGAGCUUGACUGAUAUUGCACAGUGGCUGUGACUGUUUCUCCUCAACAGGUGCUUUACGACAGAUUUGCUGUGUUUCUCAAGGGCACGUUCCCACAGAAAAAUAGCCUUAGUGAUAGUUACACCGUAACCCUGGGUUAGGUGUCAAUUAUAUAGAAAAACAAUAAAUACCACUGAAACUCAAAUCCUCCCCCAAGUAGCUGCAUUUAAAAAAGCAAGACAAAACACGGAUGUGUUAAAAUUCCUUAUUUCACUGAGACCUGUAGAGAUGUCUUAACGGACCAAAUGCAUGACCCUCUUACUCAAAAAUCAUGAAAGUACUGUUUUUUUCUUCUUUGUGUUCAAAGUGGCCCAAACAUUAGACCAUUCUAGCUAUGACAGACAGGAAGUCCUCUUUGUCCAUUGUCAUGUAUAAACCCACGCAGGAUUUGCACAACACGUUUUCAAUUUGUAACAUGAGCCUUGAUGAUGUGUUGUUAUCAAUGAAGGGACUUUCCACUGAGGAUCUGAGUCGUUCUGGAAGUACAAAGAAAAGCUUAUAGAGGAAGGCCAGGGCUCUCAAGAGCUUUAGCUGCAAUGGGAAUCGCAGCCAUGUCUACUCAUUGAAAGUCAGGGGUAUAGAAGUCUGUGGCUUUCCUGAUGCUCACAUUAGCUUGUGUGUCAGUUCUCCACAGAAGGUUUGUUUCAUGAGCAGGCAUGUAAAUGAAUGAAUGAAUGCAUGACUGCUUAGUGGUGAUGGAGGAGAGGAGACAAAAAGGCUAUCUGUCCGUUCCAGAGAAGGCCGACGAGACCUAAAAUGCAGACAACAGACCCAAGAAUAAAGAAAAAAAUGCAAGACCGUUAAAAAAAAAAUUGGGUGUGGGAUCAGAAUUGAACUUAGGGAUUUCUGAACCAGCCUUCUCAUUUCUAGAGUAAACCUGAGAUACCCUUGGGCAGUGACAUGGUUUCCUGUGCCACUUGUGACACAGAAGAGUGUGACAUCUGCGUACCUCUUUCAUGACUUUUUUUGCCUUGGGUACUUCUUAUCUAAAUUGUUUUGUUUUGUUUUUUAGGGCAGCACCCGUGGCAUAUGGAGGAGGGGCCCAAGAAAUAGCAACAACAACAACAACAACAAAAAAAAGACAAAAAGACAAAAAAAAAAAAAAAGAAGGGAAAAAAGAGGAGAUGCAGUUACGUUGUGUUUCUGUCAUCCUUGUGGGGAGGGACCUUCCUAGUGUGUCCAGACUCGUCACGAGCAGAAACUGAGACAAUUUCUUCAUCUUCUAUCUGUCCCGUCUUGGUCACCCUUGCUACCCUCUGUGUCUUCGUUAUUUUUAGCAGAAAAAAGUUGUUCGACACCUUUGGACUUAUUGUCUUUAUUUCCAUGGCAUGAAGGAAGCAUAGUGUGGGAAAGACCUCUUCUGGUUUUCAUGUUGGAAAAAAAGGAACCCAGGUGGGCGAGCAGGUGGCGAAGCCGUGAAGACGGACGGAAAUUGAGCUGACUCACUAGGGCCUAAGGAAGGAAGAGGGAGGCACAGGGGGGCUUGGUUGGGACCCAGAAAGCAGCCUGGUUAUUAGGCUGCUGGGGGAAAUCCCGGAGAUCCGAACCAGGAAAGGAGCCUCUUGUAACUUUGCAGAGCCCUAUUUAUGAACGAGUUUAUCUAGCCCACUAGUCUGGGAAUUAUUUGAGCAUUCCGGCUACUUAAAACAAAAUUAUGGGUGUAUCGUUGACUUAUAAUGUUGUAUUAGUUUCAGGUGUACAGCAAAGUGAAUCAGUUAUACAUAUAUCCAUGCUUUUUUUCCCAUAUGGAUUAUUACGAACUAUUGAGUAAUUUCCCUGUGCUAUACAGUCGGUUCUUAUUAAUGAUUUAUUUUAUAUACUAGUGUGUGUAUGAUAUUCCCAUCCUCCUAGUUGCUUCCUCCCCCAGACUGUGUUUUAUUCAACUUUGAAUCCCUAGCACAUAACAGAGGGUCUAACAUAUAAAGAACUCAACACUAACUUAUUAAAUAAUCCAAGCAUCUAUCUUACUUAAAUCAGAGUCCUUGGCAAAGCCUCCUCCCACAUUCUGUACUUCAUCUCCUAAAUAAAUUCCUGUUUCCAGUUUGAGGAACGUUUUUCAUUGAUUUACAAAAGCAAAAAGACAAAAAACAAAAAAAAAAACAACAACAACAACAAAAAUACAAAAGCAGAAGUACCAAUGUGACCUCAACCCAGUCCAGCUGGCUUAUUAACUUUUUUUUUUUUUUUUUUUUUUGUCUUUUUAGGGCCACACUUGAGGCAUACGGAGGUUCAAGGCUAGAGGUCAAAUUGGAGCUACAGCUGCCAGCCUACACCACAGCCACAGCAAUGCCAGGUCUGAGCCAUGUCUGUGACCUAUACCACAACUCACGGUGAUGGCAGAUCCUUAACCCCCUGAGUAGGGCCAGGGAGUGAACUUAUGUCCUCAUGGAUCCUAGUCAGCUCUGUUACCGCUAAGCCACGGCGGGAACUCUCAGCUUAUUAACUUUGAUCAUCUCUUCCUGAGAGCUGGACUCACCACUCAAAAGCCACAAACCCCAGAGGGAUCAUCUUUAAAAACCCAUCA